AACAAACGCUGGCGGCGUGCCUAAUACAUGCAAGUCGAACGGGGUAGCAAUACCUAGUGGCGCACGGGUGAGGAACGCGUGGAUAAUCUGCCUUAGAGUGUGGGAUAACUAGUCGAAAGAUUAGCUAAUACCGCAUAAGACCACAGGAGCUGCGGCUCUAGGGGUCAAAGGUUUUUCGCUCUAAGAUGAGUCCGCGUAAGAUUAGCUAGUUGGUGAGGUAACGGCUCACCAAGGCGACGAUCUUUAACUGGUCUGAGAGGAUGAUCAGUCAUACUGGAACUGAGACACGGUCCAGACUCCUACGGGAGGCAGCAGUAGGGAAUAUUGCACAAUGGAGGAAACUCUGAUGCAGCGACGCCGCGUGAGUGAUGAAGGCCUUCGGGUCGUAAAGCUCUGUCGCAGGGGAAUAACACAAUGAAUGUACCCUGUAAGAAAGGAUCGGCUAACUUCGUGCCAGCCGCCGCCGUAAAAC
rnacentral:rRNA from 1 species